GACCUCGGAUCAGGUAGGAAUACCCGCUGAACUUAAGCAUAUA
rnacentral:rRNA from 1 species